UACGGAGGAUGCAAGCGUUAUCCGGAUUCAUUGGGUUUAAAGGGUGCGUAGGCGGGCUAUUAAGUCAGUGGUGAAAGCCUGCAGCUUAACUGCAGAACUCCCAUUGAUACUGAUAGUCUUGAGUUUGGUUAAGGUAGGCGGAAUGUGUAAUGUAGCGGUGAAAUGCUUAGAUAUUACACAGAACACCAAUUGCGUAGGCAGCUUACUGAGCCGAUACUGACGCUGAGGCACGAAAGCGUGGGGAUCAAACAGGA
rnacentral:rRNA from 1 species